GGGGCUGUAGCUCAAUCGGUUAGAGCAGCGGACUCAUAAUCCGUUGGUUGAGGGUUCGAGUCCCUCCGGCCCCA
rnacentral:tRNA from 1 species